AAAAGUUCAAGGUCUCGCAUUCCUCGUCUUAUUGCUUUACUGAGCAGGUUCUCAUUUUAAUCAGACUUACGGUACUUUCACCCAGCUAUCUCAAAGCACAUAACAACCACUGUAAUUACUGGCAAUAAUGAGCUAAUUAAUUCUUCUGGGUAUUAUUUCUCAAGGAAUAAGUACUACUGUCCUCAGUGUGGGGAUGUGGAAACUGAGAUGUCUUCAGCUUCAUCUUUAAACGUAUGGAUUUGGACACUGUCGCUCCAGAACUCUUCGGGAGAGAUAAGACAUGUCGAAUCUUUGAUCGCUUCUGGAGCUGUUUGAGCAGAGCCCUGCUCCCAUUUUCCCUCUGGUGCUGAGGGAAACCACGACAGCUCUCCUUGAAAUAAAGCCCAAAUACGGGAAGCUCACAGGUGGGAGUAGGUGAGGGAACUGGAGGAUAACAGUGAGAGGGUCGGGAAGCUCUACCAGCUGUUUUUGGUCACAUUCACUGGUUUUUGUGAUAGGCUCUUCCUGAAUACCUGCUUCAGUCCGGGCUCAGAGCAGGUGGUGAGGGGAGGUUGGGUGCUGAGGCCGUGAAGGCCUCACAGAUCGUGUAUGAUGAGGUGUGAGUCUCUAUCCCCCUGCCUGGUUCAAGGUAGAAAUCCCAACACUUCGGCCUUCAGAAGAUAAAAAUGUAUAAUUUGUCGAGACUCUUUUAUUGAUGAACCGCCACACAGAGCUCUAAUUCCUUCCAAACCGGACAGCGCGCAUCAAAAGGAACUGCGCCUUUCCACACACGCAGCCCCGCGCUUCCUUCCCCCUCUUAUCGCUUCACAGAGGAGCUGGGCCGGGGCAUUUCCUCGCUAAUGACAGAUGAUGAGCGUUUAAAGGUUUGAGCAACCCCUGGCCAGCCGCUAAUCCCCGUUAAGCCCUCAAAUGGCUCAGGGGCUGCGAGGGG
ensembl:lncRNA